rnacentral:rRNA from 1 species
UACAUCGUUGUAUCAGUACAGUGAUGUGUCUAGCGGCGAACGGGUGAGUAACACAGGGGCAACCAUCCCUCAGGAGGGGAACAACCCGCCGAAAGGCGGGCUAAUACCCCAUGUUUUGCAGCGGAGGCAUCUCUGCUGUAACAAAGGCGCCGCAAGGUGCCGCCUCUGGACGGGCUCUUGUCCUAUCAGCUUGAUGGCGGGGUAACGGCCCACCAUGGCAGCGACGGGUAGCCGGCGUGAGAGCGUGACCGGCCACAGGGGAACUGCGAUACGGUCCCCACUCCUACGGGAGGCAGCAGUCUAGAAAUUUGGGCAAUGGGCGAAAGCCUGACCCAGCGACACCGCGUGGAGGAUGAAGUCUUUCGGGAUGUAAACUCCUGACAGGCGGAGCGAUGCCGUUUCGGAGUAACUGCCGAGACGGUGACGGUACUGCCAAAGGAAGCCCCGGCUAACUACGUGCCAGCAGCCGCGGUAAUACGUAGGGGGCAAGCGCUGUCCGGAUUUACUGGGCGUAAAGGGUGUGCAGGCGGGCUGGCGUGUCGGUGGUGAAAGCUCUCGGCUUAACCGAGAAAGUGCUGCCGAAACUACCAGUCUUGAGGGUGGAAGAGGAAACUGGAACUUCUGGUGUAGCGGUAAAAUGAGUAGAUAUCAGAAGGAACGCCGAUAGCGAAGGCAGGUUUCUGGGACGUUCCUGACGCUGAAACAAGAUAGCUAGGGGAGCAAACAGGAUUAGAUACCUUGGUAGUCCUAGCUGUAAACGAUGUACAUUAGGCGUGGGGAGUUUUCCCCGUGCAGGAGCCAACGCGUUAAAUGUACCGCUUGGGGACUACG